rnacentral:lncRNA from 10 species
CGGUGGCGCGUGCCUGUAGUCCCAGCUACUCGGGAGGCUGAGGUGGGAGGAUCGCUUGAGCCCAGGAGUUCUGGGCUGUAGUGCGCUAUGCCGAUCGGGUGUCCGCACUAAGUUCGGCAUCAAUAUGGUGACCUCCCGGGAGCGGGGGACCACCAGGUUGCCUAAGGAGGGGUGAACCGGCCCAGGUCGGAAACGGAGCAGGUCAAAACUCCCGUGCUGAUCAGUAGUGGGAUCGCGCCUGUGAAUAGCCACUGCACUCCAGCCUGAGCAACAUAGCGAGACCCCGUCUCUUUUGCCCCCCUCCCUCAUUAAGGGUACCUUUCGCGAAAGCUCACCAGUUGACGGGAUGCUUGGGGAUUUGCAACCGCCUCAUCGCUGCCCCCUACCGGCGCAUAUUCAAAACGUCUCUGCGAAAAGCUGUUAUUACCUUCGGAGCCAACAGGGGCUGCUCGUUUACCCACAGACAGUCGGAAAAAAAUGGCCGCCGGAUCACAGAGAGCAAAAAGUACGUUCUCUUAAAGAAUUUCCAAGUUCUUCCCGCGGCCGUUCAGGAUGCUGCUUGCAGUUACCAACAUUAUUCCCCUGCACUGAGCUGACCUGAGCUUCCCUGCCUACCUCCUGUCACGGAUGUCACCUUCUUUCACCCCUGUCCUGUCAAGGUUUUUGCUUUAGAAUGCUAUAGACCAAAGACGGGCUAAUCAACAGUCUUACACACAAAUCCUUUCGUUCUACUUGGCUACAGGCAGGGCUAAUCUUCCGAAGAGGAAUCCCACUACUGCCUCCUUAUAAGGGAAAAACUCCUCUCAGAGGAACCCAGAACGCCCUGUGAUGACAGAGGUGAGGGGCCAGCGUGGCAGAAUGCACCACCCUGUCUCCUCGCUUGCUUCUCUCUCCGUCGGAUUGCCAAAAAGGGAACGGCACCUAGACGCCGAAAAGUAACUGAAGCAAAGGGAGUUUAAAGAACGCGCCCAGCCGCCUGGGUCUUGAACCCAGUGUUAAUGAGAGCAAAAACCUCUGCAUCCUCCACUGAGCUGUCCUUGAGCAUGUCUCAUAAUCAUGCUUCAUUUUAAAAACAGAAAUAAGUGAGUAAGCUAUGAAAGAAGACAACCUUUAAAUUUUUCAAAAGUUCUUGGUGGUCUGUGAUUAGAAAUUUCAUCUAUAUGAAAUAACUGUUUUGGAGGGCUUACUGUUAAAUUCAGGCAUUUUAGGGCCAGUGGAAACUGGUUAAGCAUUCACAUCAGUCUUAACAUUAAUCUGAUAAUCUACUGGGAGUUUAAAGACUCUAAGCACUAAACACAGAUUUUCCUCACUGUCUAUAAAAUGAAAGAGGAAAGAAGCAUUGUACUAAAUUUUUUAUAAAGCUAAUUGUAUUCCCUUUUUUUUUUUUGAGGUAGUUCAUUGCAUUUUGAACAAGGAUAACUGUCAGAAAAGAUCCUCUUUGAAUAAAACAGGUAUCUCCCCCAUGGCUGCUUCUGGGUCUGCCCUCUGCAACCACAUGGAAUAGGUCUGAUUCCGGUUCUUCAGGACAACUUUUCAAGAAUUAAAAA